rnacentral:lncRNA from 1 species
AUGAGUCUGCGUUUCAUGGUUUGCUGAUUACAGAUUAUUUAAGUGAAAGCAUAUUCAGGACAGAACGAGUCUUAUGUUGUCUUAGCUUCCCUUUGGAUAUUUAUUUUCUGGUAUUUGCUUGUGUAUUUGGUAUAUAAAUCCUACUACAGGUUUGGAAAUACUGAAAUAGAUCUGUUUUAAAAGUCUGUUAUUUUUGUGGUGUCGUACUUGAAACGACCACACUUGUUGGGUCGGGCUAUUUACAUUUGGUCUGUCUGUCUGUCUGUCUGCCCUUUUAUUAUUUGUUUACCUUUAGGUUUAUGGGAAAUGUUUUAGUUUUACUCCAACCCAUACAGAUCUAUAAUAUAGAAUUAGUGUAGGACGGUACUUCACACUUGAGCAAUAAAAAUACCUAGACAUAUUUUUAGAGGUGCAGUAUAUUACUCGGCUACUACCCUAACUGUAGUGUU